GACGAACGCUGGCGGCGUGCUUAACACAUGCAAGUCGAACGGUUAGGGCCUUCGGGGUACACGAGAGGCGAACGGGUGAGUAACACGUGGGUGAUCUGCCCUGCACUUCGGGAUAAGACUGGGAAACUGGGUCUAAUACCGGAUAGGACCACUGCCUGCAUGGGUGGUGGUGGAAAGCUUUUGUGGUGUGGGAUGGGCCCGCGGCCUAUAAGCUUGUUGGUGGGGUGAUGGCCUCCCCAGGCGACGACGGGUAGCAGGCCUGAGAGGGUGACGGGACACUGUGGGAGUGAGAGACAGACCAGGCGCCUACGGGGGGCAGCAGUCGGGAAUAUGGAACAAUAGGCGCAAGCCUGAUGCAGCGACGCCGCGAGAGGAAUGACGGCCAUCGGGUUGUAAACCUCUUUCAGCACCGACGAAGCGCAGGUGACGGUAGGUGCAGAAGAAGGACCGGCCAACUACGUGCCAGCCGCCGCGGUAA
rnacentral:rRNA from 1 species